UACGUAGGCAGCAAGCGUUGUUCGGAAUUACUGGGCGUAAAGAGCGUGUAGGCGGCCAUACAGGUCAGCUGUGAAAACUCGAGGCUCAACCUCGAGACGUCGGUUGAAACCGUAUGGCUAGAGUCCGGAAGAGGAGAGUGGAAUUCCGGUGUAGCGGUGAAAUGCGCAGAUAUCGGGAAGAACACCUAUGGCGAAGGCAGCUCUCUGGGACGGUACUGACGCUGAGACGCGAAGCGUGGGGAGCGAACAGG
rnacentral:rRNA from 1 species